rnacentral:rRNA from 1 species
GCCAUGCAUGUCUCAGUACAAGCCAAAUUAAGGUGAAACCGCGAAAGGCUCAUUAAAUCAGUUAUGGUUCCUUAGAUCGUACUACAUUUACUUGGAUAACUGUGGUAAUUCUAGAGCUAAUACAUGCAAAUAGAGUCCCGACCGGAGACGGAAGGGAUGCUUUUAUUAGAUCAAAACCGAUCGGCGGCUUGGGUCUAACCGGCCCUUGUCUGUCGUAUUAAUUGGUGAAUCUGAAUAACUUUUUGCUGAUCGCACGGUCUCGCACCGGCGACGCAUCUUUCAAAUGUCUGCCUUAUCAACUGUCGAUGGUAGGUUCUGCGCCUACCAUGGUCGUAACGGGUAACGGGGAAUCAGGGUUCGAUUCCGGAGAGGGAGCCUGAGAAACGGCUACCACAUCCAAGGAAGGCAGCAGGCGCGCAAAUUACCCACUCCCGGCACGGGGAGGUAGUGACGAAAAAUAACGAUACGGGACUCAUCCGAGGCCCCGUGAUCGGAAUGAGUACACUUUAAAUCCUUUAACGAGGAUCAAUUGGAGGGCAAGUCUGGUGCCAGCAGCCGCGGUAAUUCCAGCUCCAAUAGCGUAUAUUAAAGUUGUUGCGGUUAAAAAGCUCGUAGUUGGAUUUGUGUCUCGCGCUGUCGGUUCACCGCUCGCGGUGCAAACUGGCACGCCGCGGGACGUCCUGCCGGUGGGUGGUAACCCUGCAAGGUUUUUGUUAUACGUUGUCAGUAUGUGUUUGUCGCCUUGGCGUCGGCCAUCUGCACGUAUAGCGCCUUGUUUGUGGUCCACCCGACUUUUUUAAAAUCCUGUCGCGGUGCUCUUAAUUGAGUGUCGAGAUGGGCCGGCACGUUUACUUUGAACAAAUUAGAGUGCUCAAAGCAGGCUAAAAUUUUGCCUGAAUACUUAGUGCAUGGAAUAAUGGAAUAGGACCUCGGUUCUAUUUUGUUGGUUUUCGGAAAUCCGAGGUAAUGAUUAAUAGGGACAGACGGGGGCAUUCGUAUUGCGACGUUAGAGGUGAAAUUCUUGGAUCGUCGCAAGACGGACAGAAGCGAAAGCAUUUGCCAAGAAUGUUUUCAUUAAUCAAGAACGAAAGUUAGAGGUUCGAAGGCGAUCAGAUACCGCCCUAGUUCUAACCAUAAACGAUGCCAGCUAGCGAUCCGCCGACGUUCCUUUUAUGACUCGGCGGGCAGCUUCCGGGAAACCAAAGCUUUUGGGUUCCGGGGGAAGUAUGGUUGCAAAGCUGAAACUUAAAGGAAUUGACGGAAGGGCACCACCAGGAGUGGAGCCUGCGGCUUAAUUUGACUCAACACGGGAAACCUCACCAGGCCCGGACACCGGAAGGAUUGACAGAUUGAGAGCUCUUUCUUGAUUCGGUGGGUGGUGGUGCAUGGCCGUUCUUAGUUGGUGGAGCGAUUUGUCUGGUUAAUUCCGAUAACGAACGAGACUCUAACCUGCUAACUAGGCGUACAUUAUACCGGUAUCUCAGAGGUCGGCGGUUCGAGGUUAACGGCCGUUUUACGGUUUAGUUAUAGUUGUGGUUGUUCGUUUCGGUUUACGCCGUUGCGGCAAUCAUGCUAUGCUGGGCCGUGGGCGGUCGCCCUCGAUACUUGUCCGACUUUUACUACCGGCGUACAUUAAAAUCUUCUUAGAGGGACAGGCGGCUUCUAGCCGCACGAGAUUGAGCAAUAACAGGUCUGUGAUGCCCUUAGAUGUUYUGGGCCGCACGCGCGCUACACUGAAGGAAUCAGCGUGUCCUCCCUGUCCGAAAGGACCGGGUAACCCGCUGAACCUCCUUCGUGCUAGGGAUCGGGGCUUGCAAUUAUUCCCCGUGAACGAGGAAUUCCCAGUAAGCGCGAGUCAUAAGCUCGCGUUGAUUACGUCCCUGCCCUUUGUACACACCGCCCGUCGCUACUACCGAUUGAAUGAUUUAGUGAGGUCUUCGGACUGGUGCGCGGGGACGUUUCGGCGUAAC